AGGAUAUCCUUUGGGAUGCGCCCAUCAUUCAUUUGGCACACAUGCCCAAGCCAGUGGAGGUGUCACUGUUUGAGGAGUGUUUGCGUGCUGGGUAUGGUGGCCCGUUUGAGCACCUCAGUGUUGGUGACUCUGUCCCUCCAAGAGAUUCCAAAGAUUUGACGAAGGCAACACAUAUGAAAGCUGGCACCAAGUGUUGACU